rnacentral:rRNA from 1 species
AGUGAACGCUGGCGGUAGGCCUAACACAUGCAAGUCGAACGGCAGCACAGUAAGAGCUUGCUCUUACGGGUGGCGAGUGGCGGACGGGUGAGGUAUACAUCGGACUCUACUUUUUCGUGGGGGAUAACGUAGGGAAACCUACGAUAAUACCGAAUAUGAUCUACGGGUGAAAGCAGGGGAUCUUUGGACCUUGCGCGAUUGAAUGAGCCGCUGUCGUAUUAGCUAGUUGGCGGGGUAAAGGCCCACCAAGGCGACGAUACGUAGCUGGUCUGAGAGGAUGAUCGGCCACACUGGAACUGAGACACGGUCCAGACGCCUACGGGAGGCAGCAGUAGGGAAUAUUGGGCAAUGGGCGCAAGCCUGAUCCAGCCAUACCGCGUGGGUGAAGAAGGCCUUCGGGUUGUAAAGCCCUUUUGUUGGGAAAGAAAAGCAGCAGGUUAAUACCCCGCUGUUCUGACGGUACCCAAAGAAUAAGCACCGGCUAACUUCGUG